rnacentral:rRNA from 1 species
UACGGAGGGUGCAAGCGUUAUCCGGAUUCACUGGGCUUAAAGGGUGCGUAGGCGGACAGGUAAGUCAGUGGUGAAAUCUCCGAGCUUAACUCGGAAACUGCCUUUGAUACUCUCUGUCUUGAAUAUGGUGGAGGUAAGCGGAAUAUGUCAUGUAGCGGUGAAAUGCUUAGAGAUGACAUAGAACACCUAUUGCGAAGGCAGCUUACUACGCCUAUAUUGACGCUGAGGCACGAAAGCGUGGGGAGCAAACAGG